UACGGAGGGUGCAAGCGUUGUCCGGAUUUAUUGGGUUUAAAGGUGCGUAGGUGGCCUUGUAAGUCCGUGGUGAAGCCUCUCGCUUAACGAGAGAACUGCCAUGGAUACUGCAAGGCUUGAGUCCAGACGAGGUUGGCGGAAUGGAUGGUGUAGCGGUGAAAAUGCAUAGAUACCAUCCAGAACCCCCGAUUGCGUAGGGCAGCUGACUAGGCUGGUACUGGA
rnacentral:rRNA from 1 species